UUUUGGACAAUGGGCGCAAGCCUGAUCCAGCCGUGCCGCGUGAGUGAAGAAGGCCUUCGGGUUGUAAAGCUCUUUCAGCCGGAAAGAAAUUGCUUCUAUUAAUACUAGGAGUAGAUGACGGUACCGGAAGAAGAAGCACCGGCUAACUACGUGCCAGCAGCCGCGGUAAUACGUAGGGUGCGAGCGUUAAUCGGAAUUACUGGGCGUAAAGCGUGCGCAGGCGGUUUUGUAAGACAGAUGUGAAAUCCCCGGGCUUAACCUGGGAACUGCAUUUGUGACUGCAAGACUAGAGUGUAGCAGAGGGGGGUAGAAUUCCACGUGUAGCAGUGAAAUGCGUAGAGAUGUGGAGGAAUACCAAUGGCGAAGGCAGCCCCCUGGGUUAACACUGACGCUCAUGCACGAA
rnacentral:rRNA from 1 species